UAGAAUCAAUUGGUUAUAAAAAGGGAAGAGUGUAGUCGCCAGUACAUUCAGUUACAAAAUGACACAAACGAGGAUAUACGCGACGUUUGGUGUUUUAUUAUUGAUCACAAUUGUUAUAUCAAAAGAAACUAAUGGAAGGACAUCACAUGUUGGAAGAUCCAAUAUGCCAAAUAUUUAUGAUAUUUUAUCACUUAUCUACAGACUUUGUUCCGUUAACGAGGGUGUUACUUAUUCCAAUUUGGAGUGUCUAGAUCAACAUAU